rnacentral:misc_RNA from 1 species
UGUUUAGUAUGCAUAGUAUGGUAGUACUGCAGAAUAUUAUCUAAACACUACAUGUAUAAAGUAUUCUGUACACAUAGUCAGGUUAAUUCAAAAUAACAUAUUUGAUUGUGUUCUGAGUAUAAAUAUCAUGUUUUUGUAUACAAGUUAGUACAAUGGUAUAGGCACAUAUGCAACACUAGUAAAUGUAUCAAGUCAAUUCAUUAUUCAUGAUUUACCAUUACUUUUAUUUCUCUAUUUAUUAUAAGUCCAUCCACAGGUUUUUGAAGACAUUGAAAAUGUGUUUAGAAGGAAUGUCCUGUGUUAUUUCGUGGGCGUAAUUGUAAUUUACAUAUAUGUAACAUUCCUAUUGAGGCUAUUGUAAAAUGUACAUGCUGUAAGUGUAUAACUGUUUGAAGGAUGUGAUGUUUCAAUGGACUGAUUUAAAGUGCUCUGUAUCAAUUGUUUUUUUUUAUAUGAAAGUAAAGAAAUAAGAAUUGAGGUUCUUUCCCCAAAAAUACCAAGUUUGCUUCAUUUUCUGCUAAAUUUUUUUAUGUCAGGCUCAAGAAGUAUUUUUACUACAAAGUACAUUUUGUAAUGAUCACAACUUUAAUGUUAUUCCAUAACACGGUAGUAGCUAUAUAUAACACAUAAUGUAAACGUUUGUUGUCUCUGUUUAAUUUAUCAAUAUUUCUGCUUGUGAAAGAGGAUGAGAGAAUAAAUAAUGGUUGUCAUUUUAUGUUAUAUUGUGUGAGAUGACUUAUAUGAGAGAGUGCAUUGAAUAAUAUGAGUGGUUUGAAAAUGAGUUGGUGAAAACUAUUAUUUGUCUUGUGUGGUCACUGUUUAUCUCUUUCAAGCAAAAAAGAUUAUUAUUUAUUGGAACAGUUUUGAUAUUAAAAACAAAAAAUCAC